GAGAGAGGUGAGCCUGAGGAGGGAACACAGACCAGGUGUAUUCAGUCUGGAGAUGUUCUUUUGGGCCAUGAGCUGUUCUAGGAAAUGGAGAUACCGUGGAGCUUAGAACCCAAAGAGGCUUGACCCCGGCGUUUAGGUCUUUGGGUCUUCUUGUUGAGGCAAGAAGGAGCCAUUGACGGUUUAAGCAGGAAAAGCAGCAAGAUCCGAUUUGCAUUUUAGGAUUCUUCCUCUGGCUGCUGAAUGCAAAUGAGUUGGAGGGGGCGACAUGGAGGAGGGAGGCAGAGUCACUGGUAACCGAAAAGCAGGCCUUGAACAGAGAGGAAGAUCUCCACACAGCCCUGGUUUCCCAAGAGCCAGGGGGAGCCAUAGGGUUACUCAUGGCUGGAGUGGUGGCCUCAUGCUCUAAACCAGUCUUCAUCAUGCAGAUUUGGGGCCCCGUGCUGCUAUUGAUAAGAAGCAGGUCUCUUGAUUCAGUCUACCCUCAAAGAGUAGACUGAGUUGUGAAAGACCACAAAUACCAGGUGGUGGGAAUUAUUGGAAUCAUGUCAGAA